GAUGAACGCUGGCGGCGUGCUUAACACAUGCAAGUCGAACGGAAAGGCCCGGCUUUUGUGGCGUUCUCGAGUGGCGAACGGGUGAGUAACACACGAGUAACCUGCCCUUGACUUUCUGAUAACUUCACGAAACUGGGGCUAAUACCGGCUAUAAGCUCUUUCUGCAUGGUGGGGGUUGGAAAGGUUCGGCGGUGGGGGAUGGACUCGCGGCUUCCGAGCUUUUUGGUGGGGUAGUGGCUUACCACGGCUUAGACGGUUAGCCGGCAUUAGAGGGGGACCGGGCACAUUGGGACUGCGGGACGCCGCAGAAUGCAACGGUAGGCAGUAGUGGAGAAUAUGGCAAAGCGGGAGGAAGCGAGAGGCAGCGACGCCGGGAGCGGGAUGAGGGGUUACGGGUUGUAAACCGAUUUAGACUGUGACAAAGAGUGAGUGACGGUAAUGGGUAAAGAAGCACCGGCUAACUACGUG
rnacentral:rRNA from 1 species